GCAGUGGCAGCCUCGAGUGGCUCUUGGCAUACUUCAGUCUGUGGAGUGCAAGGUUGACUGGAUCUCCGUGGCCAUUGAUACUAUUCAGGGAACGAAAUGUGGAAGUUGCUCAUAAUUCUGAACCAGUGUUUUCUAACCAAUGUGUGAUUACAAAAUCGUGUGCUGGUAAAAGCCAUUCAAGUGCAGGACGGACCAGUCGACUCAGAAGGAAUUGGGGCAGAAAGGCCCGUCGACCAGAGCGCAGUCUCUGCGUUGCAGACAGCCUGUACGGAAGUGCCACUUGUUACAUUUGGCAGCAGAGAAUACCUAAAAUGAUCUGAAAACACAAUGAAAAUACUGCUUCCUACUUGUAUAUCAGCGUGGGGUCGGACUUCUUUCAUAAACUUCAGCCACGGCUCUGCAGCCCACUGAACGCAGAUGCAGGCGUGAGAACCCUGCUGUCUGAGGUGCAGAGAUGUUAGGUGUUUUCACAGCAGCACAAACUCUUGCCACGCUGCUACUUAUUUUGGAAAAUGGUUUCUUCUUGAAGACUGUGUUAAGAUGUAAUGACUUUAUCGUUGUAAAAUAAACUAAAUUGUUAUCUUUUUUCUUUUUUUUUUUUUUUGAGACGGAUUCUUACUCUGCCACCCAGGCUGGAGUGUAGUGGUGUGACCUUAGCUCACUUCAACCUCUGUCUCCUGAGUUCAAGUGAUUCUUGUGCCUCAGCCUCCCUAGUAGCUGGUACUACAGGUGUUCGCCACCAUGCCAGGCUAAUUUUUGUAUUUUAGUAGAGAUGGGGUUUCGCCAUGUUGGCCAGCCCAGUCUUGAACUCCUGACCUCAAGUGAUCCACCUGCCUCUGCCUCCCAAAGUGCUGGGAUUACAGGCAUGAGCAGCCACCACUCCUGGCCUGAUGAGAAAGCUUUUUUGUGAUCUUGAAUAAAGUGCAAAGGGUUCCUGAGACCCAAAAAUUUGAAAACUACUGGCUUAAACUGAGAAAAUUGUCCACGAUUUUUCAGUGUAUCUUCUAAUCUGUUGAUGGAGAAAGGACGGUAAGGGUUGCUUUACUUUUUUCCUUUCAGAACUCAAUGGUGCUGGGACAACUAGGGUAUCCACAUGGAAAAGGAUGGACUGGACCCUUCCUCACCCUACACGCAAAGCUCAAAAUGGAUCUAGCGUAAGGAGUCGACUGUGAGACCCAUUCUGUCAGUCUGCUGGGUACCAUAACGGACACCACAGACCGUGCGGCUUAAACAACAGCAUCUUAUUUGCUUUUUUGUGGAGACUGGAAGCCUGGGAUCAAGGUGCGGCCAGUGUUGGAUUCUCUGGGGCCUCACCCCGUGCUGUGUAGACGGCGUCCUCUCUGUGUCCUCACAGGUUUCUCUUAUGUGCAUGCAGCACUGAGGACUGUGUCUAAAUUCUCGCAAAAGAAUACCAGUCAUACUGGAUCAGGGCCUACUCUUAAGAUCUUACGUGACCUAAAUUUCCAAGUUAAAGGCCCUGUACACUUAGGUACAGUGACAUUUUGAGUUUCCGGGGUUGUGACUUUAACAUGGGAAUCUUGAGAGGGGGGACAGUUCAGCCCAUGACACCUUUAGGGAAGAAUCCUGGUGAAACUGCUACUUUGGAUUAGGCAAUGUUUCCUUGGCUGAGACGUCUAAAGCUGUACCAAGCAACUGAAGGGAAAAAGACGGGAUCAAAAUUAAAAAUGUUCAUUUCAGAGGAUACUCUUAAAGUAAAAAGACAACCCACAGAACAGGAUACAUUAUCAUGAUAAGGACCUGAUAUCAUGAAUAUAUUUAAAAGCUCUUAGUAAAAAUCCAAGUUAAAAAUGGACAAGGGAUUUGAAUAGACAUUCUCCAAAGAAAGACAUAUAAAUGCCUUAAAAAGCACAUGAGAUGUUUAGCAGAAUUCAUCAUCUUAGAAAUGGAAAUCAAAACUACCGUGAGAUACCACUUCACAACCACCGGGAUGGGUAAAACCCCAGUAUUGGACAGUGACAUGGUGGUGAAUUUGGGAAAACUGAAAUCUUGAUAUAUUGCUAGUGGGAGGGGAAGUAAAAUAGUACAGUUGAUUUGGAAAAGUCUGGCAGUUUCUCAGAAAAGUUAAGCAUGAAAUCACCGUACAACCCAGCAAUUUCACUCCUAGGCAUACGCCCAAGAAAAUGGAAAAUAUUUUUGCCAAAAAAAUCUUAUGCAAGAGUCUUCAUAGCAGCAUUAUUUGUAGUAGUAGAAAGAGUCCAGGUAUCUGUCAACAGGUCACUCACUGUGAGAUUCCACUCUCCUUGGACGUGAAAGAUGUCAGCACCGAAGGUCACGCACUGUACGAUUCUCCUCACAACAGGUGUCCAGAAUGGGCAAAUCCAGAGAAACGGAAGUCGGCUGGCGAUUGCCAGGGGCUGGUGGAAGGAAGGAGCAGGUGCUGACUCUUAAUGGGUUCAAGGUUUCUUCGGCCCGUGGUGAAAAAGUCCCGGAAUUACAUACUAGUGGUUGAUGUACAGCUUUGAGAAUAUGCUAAAAAGACUGAAUUGUAUCCUUUAAUAUUGGGGCUUUUAUGGUUUGUAAAUUCCUUUCAAUUUCAAAAGGAACUCAAGAACUUC